rnacentral:rRNA from 1 species
CUACGUAGGGGGCGAGCGUUGUCCGGAAUGAUUGGGCGUAAAGGGCGCGUAGGCGGCCCGGUAAGUCUGGAGUGAAAGACCUGUUUUUAAGAUGGGAAUUGCUUUGGAUACUGUCGGGCUUGAGUGCAGGAGAGGUAAGUGGAAUUCCCAGUGUAGCGGUGAAAUGCGUAGAGAUUGGGAGGAACACCAGUGGCGAAGGCGACUUACUGGACUGUAACUGACGCUGAGGCGCGAAAGUGUGGGGAGCAAACAGGAUUAGAUACCCUGGUAGUCCACACUGUAAACGAUGAAUGCUAGGUGUAGGGGGUAUCGACCCCUUCUGUGCCGCAGUCAACACAAUAAGCAUUCCGCCUGGGGAGUACGGCCGCAAGGUUGAAACUCAAAUGAAUUGACGGGG